rnacentral:lncRNA from 1 species
CCGUUCACAUUUGAAGGUGGGUCAUUCAAACCCUGAGAGGUUAAACAACCUGCCAGAAGUUCCCCGGUUGUUCAGUGUCACUUCGAUGGGAGCGUCAUCUGUUUAGCCCAGAGCUUGUUUGGGCUAAACUUCUGAGCUAAUGCCUGCCCUGUUUUGCCAUUCUAUUCUCCCAGGGUAUCCAGUGCACACAUCUGAAGAUUCCUCUCCUGCCAGCCCUUAGAGUGAAUCUGUGAAUGUGGCUGUUCUGAGAUUACCACCAUAUCAAGCUUGGGCAUCCUUUCUUACACUCAGCUCUGUUUCUAGCUCAUCUUGCCUCUCACAGUGCAACUAAGAGCAAGCUCCGUACGCUGCUUUCACCGUACCUUAAGGAAACCCUCCACGGCCCUGUCUAUCUUCCUGCUGAAGUUGACUAAGGUCAGCCACAGUGGGGAAUGAGAUCUGCUUCUUCCUCCACUCGUGUGCACCUUAGCUUUGCAGCCCCCCUCCCCUGCUGCCUUCUUUGGGUGCUCGGUAGAAUGCCGACUCCAGUUGACCCCUUGAUCACCGAGACGUCCCCACUCAUAGACUGAUGCUCUGUUUAUCAUAAGGGGUCACUAAAUAUUUGCUAAAUGAGUGGAUGAAAUUAUUUCACCAAGGAUACACUGAAAGACUUAAAUCUCCUUCCACAUUUCCUAAAAAUGUUCUUCUUUUUUGUUAAUGAGAAACUUCUGAAUAAGGAUUCUUAUGAUUUGUUAUAUUUUAUGCUUCUUUUUUAACUUAUGUAUUUAUUUGCUAUGUUGAGGGUUGAACCCAUUGCCUCCAGCUUGCUAGGCAAAUCCUCUUCCAUGGAACAACGUCCCCAUGCCCAAAACUUGCUAUGUUUUAAAGUUGCCAUCUGUCAAGUCAGGGUUUUAAAUGUCUAUGAAGCAAUUGCAUUUAACUCUGCUAUUCAAAGAUAAUAACAGAAUUUAUAGAAAUUUAAUUCUUAGUGUUGGGACACCAACUUAACAUAGGGUGGCAAAUGACUCUUUGCUCUGGCCAGUUGAUGCCUAGCUGAGACAAAAGUAUUAAGGUGUCAGAGGCUCCUCCCGCAUGGGACCCAGAGACUGAGGCUCUGCUAUCUGCUGCAAGCUGUAAGACACUACAUGCUUGCAUUCCCUUCCUUUCUAUCAAGGUACUCACCAUACGCCCAACCUGGCCUUCAAGGAUUCAACCCAGUCCUCCCCUCCCAUGCUUUCAUAGGACUCCCUAGGCACAACAUUUUUCUCAUUGGUGAAGCUUCUCAUAACAAUUUAACAUGUUAAGAUAUGAUUUGUCCUAUGCAUGUUUGGUGUACUGGUCUUCACUGGUUUAUGAGAGAAGGGUCCAUCAUCCUUCUCUCUGAGCUCAGUCUGCCUCCUGCUUUGUAGCACUGAAUGCCCACAGAUGCUCACAACGUACUUUCUUGAAUAAAUAAACAGCUCUGUCAAUGCAGGUAGACAUAACAGAUGGCUGGCGUGUUGGCAUGAGGCAUGAGGCUGCCUGGCCCGUUAGCGAAGCGGGCGAGAGGGGCAGUUCGCAUCUGUUGGAGGGCUAGCAGGGGAAGGCCGCAGAUACGGAGGUAGGCAGGGCUGAGGAAGGCUGUAGAUAUGGAGAUAGGUGGGGCUGGAGAUUGGGGUGGUAUGGGUACAUUGCUGGGAUUCAUAGCAACUCUGCCUCUUGUUUCUCAUCCCAGGCAACUAGAGGUGUUUUUUUCCUAUAUCACAGCUCGGUAUUAAGACCAAAGGAGAAAUGAACUUUGAAGUGGUGGCCCCAUUGUUGUAGAUAGCAAUAUUGUUCUACAUAACUUGUUUGUGGUUCGUGUUGCUCACAUGAACAUUCGGACGCACAUCUGCCACGGACCCGUAAUGAGUUAUAAACUGAGAAACCUGAGCGUCAUACCUUUUCCUAUUCCUCAUAUUUCCAAGGCUGGAGUUCUCAGACUAUUGGACACAGCUGGGCAAUCAAGAGGACUUGAAAAAGAACACUAAUCUAUUUGAUAAGAGCUCCACCCCACGGCCUGACCACCUCCCAAGGGCUCUCCGACGGGUGACAUUUCAUCUCAUGGAAGGAACUCGAACUUUCAGUCACUGUGACUCUUCUGGUUGUUGUCCCCUGGUUUGUUAGACUCUUGUCAUCAGCACCGAGCUUACCGGUGUGACUUUACGAAGUGACAUGCCAUGACUAGACAGAAGCUUCCAGUGAGUGCACGGAUUUUUCUUCUAUAAAAAAUGGAAUAUCUCAAACAGCAAGCAGGUCCUCGGUCCUCAGUGGAAACCAUCAGGGCAAGUGUACAAUGACCUAGGUUCUAACUUCCUCAUUUGCACUGGCUUGUCUUAAAGGGAAAAGCCACAUCCCUGGACUCGCUGAGGUGGUCUGUCAGAUGCGAUAACCUGGCUAGGAGCGGGAAACACAAGUUUCAACUGAAAUCUGCUCCAGAUUUUAAUCAUGGUCAUGGGCCCUUUUCUGGGGCUAUUUCACUACAGAUACCUGUUAAAAUUUAUUCCAGUUUAAGGAAGUUUCUGUAUCUAUAGUCAAGGAAAUUCUGGAAUCUUUCUUAUAAGUGAGUAUCAGUAAUGUCACUUGCAGAACAGGGCUGCCAGGAGCCUCAGCUUCUUGCUCAUUGCUGUCUUCACAGGGCUAAGGUUAAUCCUCAGCCGUGGCCAGCCUUCUAGGUAAUGGCGUUUUUAUAGGAUCUUGAAAGAUGACUCUUUAAAAUUAUUUUAUUUCCUCUAACUUAAGGUACAGUGCUCUUGCCCAGAAGGAAACAGUCAUUUCCUAGGAAAAGGGAAACCACACUUCCUGGGGAUGUGACAGCCUCUUUGUCUACCAGCUACUCCUUUGACUGUAAGGGCAGAAAACGAAAAGCAGGUGCCAUCUGAAGGGAAUGAUCCAGGCUAUGGCUCGCAGUAGGCAGAGCUCAGGCUGAGAAGCAAAGCCCAGGCUGGCUUCCAGCCAGGUGACCCUGUCACUCAUUCCUCUAGGUUUGGAUUUCCCCAUAUGUGCCAAUAAAGGAUCUGCAAACCCCUGU